rnacentral:lncRNA from 12 species
AUGACCCGGGAGGGCUGGGCUCGGGAUUCAGGACCACGGUGCGAUGAGUGCCAUGCCACCAACCACUCACUUGGUUGGAGAUCAUCUAUCCAGAGCAUGUUUUCCUGCUGCUUCCAUAUGUCUGGAUGUUGCAGAGGGAGGACUGCACGCCCUGCCAGCAGUGCCACCCGCGGGGAGUGUCCUGGCAGGGCUCCCCGACGCCUCUGGCCACUUAGAAGGAAGGGUCGAAAGGUAACACGGGAACCCAGGGCCAUCCUGCCAGCGCCACACCCCUCUGACCAGAACUUUGCAGCCCUGGGUCCCCUCCCCGAGGGUGCAUGUGGGAGGCGGCAGGGGUCAUGUGGCAUGCGAACAGGAGAAGGCUGAUGAGGGGUCAGAACCUGGUGGGCAGGUGGUGGUCACUCCCCAGGUGCAGGCUGGCUGGUGGGAUGGGUGGGGGGGCCUGCCCUUCGGCCCAGGGCUGACCCCGGCCCUGCAGGGAUGGGUCGCUGCGUCCCGGGUGCAGGGCUGUGCACACCCAGGUCUGUGUGUGAUCUGGGAGCACAGGGGGAGUGGGCAGCAGCACAGGGAGGAGGGCCGGGCGGGGCUGUGAGGUCUCUGGGCGGCUGCCCGUCCCCCUCUCUGCAGAACAUCAAAAAUGAAGUGGAAAGGAGGCUGGCAGACCCCACUUCAACCCUUACCGAGGGGCAGUUGUGCCAGGCUGCCCAGCAGGGCCAGCAUGGAAUCCGACCCAGAGUAGCCGCACAUGGCUCCCCUCACAAGGGACCGGGGCUUGUCUGGGAAGGCCUGUGACACUGCCCAAGCCACUGUACCUGGUCCAGGUCCUACACCGGACUCUGGUCCUAGAGGAGGAGCUAACAGAGGCCGAGCCUGAGGGUGAUAAGCCUGGGGCUGGGGAAUUGGGGUGUCUGGGCAGGGGUGGGUGCUGGGACCCACAGGGAGGCGCCCCCAGAGGCUGGGGUGGGGCCAGGAGCCACAGUUGGGCUCAGAGCACCCAGCUGGGGGAUGGCAGUCGGGGAGACGUUCCAUGGUGGGAUCUUGGCGGCGGCUUCUAGAAAAUGCAGUGGGAUAUUCCUACUCUGGAAAGGCCCUUCUGGAAGGCAGACAUGUUGAUCUCCUCUUGCAGCUUCAUGGUCGCCUCAGCAGCUCGUGGUGGCUGCAGCCACAGAUCCUCUACAAUCUGAAGAUCUCGAUCCAGCCGCAGAGGCAGCAGCAGAAGCAACGCCAGCUCGGGAUCUACAGGCCUUUCCAUCAGUCCGCGUCAUGCUUCCUGCAGCAGCAGCUCCGCCUCUAGUGCCCGCCUCCUGCAGGGGCUCCAGAAAGCAAGCUAGAGCCAGGGCAGGAUCCACCACCUGGGGACCUGGAGCCAGCUCUGCACCUCCUUUUGCAGAAGAGAUGGAGCCAGCUUGGGACCCAGCAGCCCUCAGGGAGCGCCAGCCCUGGAGCUACCCUCACUGCCAGCUCCCAAUGCACAGUUUCAGCCCGAUGCCCCACUCAACACUCUGUGGAGUGUUCCUCUCCUCUAUUGUGCCUUCUGUUUGCUUUUGUGUUUGUUUUUGCUUUGUCUCUUUUUGUUUUUGUUUUUUCACAUUCUUUCUGCUGUUCUCUACUUUGGAUUUUAAAUAGAUUUAGUUAUUUUCAAUUGAGCAACUCAUGAGCAUUAAGUACAUUUCCAACGCUAAGACACAAUGUCACAGAACUUAGGUGCGGAAAGGACAUCCCGAACCAGAAGCCCUCAUCGCUCCCCAAAGGACCACCUGAACCAGAAGCCCUCCCUGCCCAUUUCUACCCAAACCAGCCCCUGGAACCCCUAAGCUGCUUUCUCUCUCUGUUCACCUGUUCUGGAUGUUUCCUACAAGUACAUUCACCUAACAGGUACCUUUGUGUCUCUGCCCAUGUAUUUUCAAAGGGACCCUUAUGUGUGUGUUUAUUUGACCAGGUUUCCCCUUAUUCAAUAUUGAAAUCUGAUCCCAGAACUGGCAGGAGAGCUGAGACUGUCGCUGCCCCAAUUUCUGGAGCUGGUGCAGGCAUCAGCGUUGGACCUGGCUCUAGCUCCGGGGCAGGUGUUAGAGCUGUGAGAAUGCUGAGUCCACCUCCAUGGAAGAUCUAGAGCUGGUUCUGCAUUUGGAUAUGGUUCUAGAGCUGACGCUACCUCUGGUGCUGAAGCUAGAGCUACCGCUGUGGCUCUGGCUCUGGAGCUGACACUGAAGCUGGCUCCGACUUCCGAGUGGGUGCUGGAGGGGCUUUAGCUGUGGAUCUUGUACUGAAGCUGGCCGCUGCUCUGGGGCUAGUGAUAUAGCUGGCACUAGAGUUACAGACGGCUCUAAUCAUGGAAGUGGUGCACGAGCUGCACCAGUGUGAGAGCUAGUGUUAGAGCUGACUCUGGCUUUGCAUGCUAGAUCUGGUGCUUGUGGCUCUAGUGUAUAGCCAGUCCUAGGUCUAGCUCUGUAGCCAGUGGUAAAAUGGGUGGUAGAGCUGGUUGUAGCUCUGUGCAGGCUCCACCGAUGAGGUUGGCAUCAGGGCAGAGGCUAACACGAGAGCAGGGACAGGAUCUGGCCCAGGAGUUGGUGUAUAGCUCGUGCCAGAGCAUGAUCUAGCUUUGAGGUGGGUGCUGAAGCCGGUUCUUUUCUCUUGAGGGGACACUGGAUCUAAGUCUGCUACUGGUUGGUGUCCGUGCAGGCUUUCACUCUGGAGCUGGUGCAGGAGUUGGCACUUGUGAGAACUCCAGCUCCGGACCUGGUACAAGAACAGUUGCUGGUGUAGCCUCUAGCUCUGAUCUUGGUGCUGACUCUAGUUCUAGAGCCAAUGCUAGAACAGGUGCUGGAGCGAGCUCUUCCUUGGAACCUGGCACUGCCUCUGAAUGCGCUUCAGGCUGAUUCUCACUCUCAAGUGGGCACUAGAACUAUCACUGGGCUGGCACUAGAGUUGGCAAAAAAAAAAAAAAAAGCUGCGUCUAACUCCGGAGUUGAUGCAAGUGUCAGAGCAGGAGUUAACUCUAGCUGUGGAGCUGGCCUGAACUCUGUUGCUACAGCUGAGAAUGGAACCGGCUAUAGCAGGGGAUCAGGUGCAGAAGCUGGUGGUAGCAUUGACUGAGUCUGGAGCUUUGGCUGGAGCUGGCUCGGGAGCUCCCUCAAGCUCUUGAGCUGGUGCUGAAGCUAGUUCUGGCGCUGGCACUAGCUCUAGAGAUGGCUCUAGCUCUACAGCUGCCUGUAGCUCCAGCUGUGUUGCCAGCGCUAAUACUGGAGCAGGCCCCAGUUCGUUUCUGUCAUCUGUUAAUCUGGAAUUUAUGUGGGGUCUGAUCCAAACUCUAGAGCUGGCUGGCACUGGAGCUGGCAAGGAUGUUGGCAGAGCUGCCUCUAUCUCUGCAGUUGUGUGACAAAGCUGGAGCUGGACCUGGUUCUAGCCCUGAAGCUGGCUGGAACUUGUUCUGGAGCUGGCUAGAGUUCUAGGGCUUUUACAGGAGCUUAGGUUAGAACACCAGCUCUGGAUUUGAUACCAUAUCUGGUGAUCAAGCUGGCUCCGUGUCUGCAACUGGCACUGGCUCUGAAUCUGGAAGUGGCACUGGAGCUGGUACUGGCUCCAGCUCUGGAACUGUCGCAUGCACUAGUGCUGGACUUGUCACCUGGCACCAUAUCUAGCUGUUGGGCUGGUGCCAAAAAUGACUCUAACUCCAGAUUUGGUACGGGUGCUGGACAGGAGCUGGCAUUGAAAGUGGUGCUAGCUCUGGAGCUGGGGUGGAGCAGGCACCAGAGUUGGUACUGGUGCUGCAAGAGGACAGAGGUUUGUCAACAUGAUCCCCUUCCCACAUGCCUGUCCGGAAACAGACUACUUUCCAGUGCCUUGCAGAGAAGCCACAACCCAGGACCCACCCCAGGACCUCUUCCUCCCCUAUAGACUGUGUGUAUGCCUAUCAAAUAAAUUUCUUUUCUUCCCUUCCUUAUCUUCUCA